UGCGCAGGCGGUUGAGUAAGACAGAUGUGAAAUCCCCGAGCUUAACUCGGGAAUGGCAUAUGUGACUGCUCGACUAGAGUGUGUCAGAGGGAGGUGGAAUUCCACGUGUAGCAGUGAAAUGCGUAGAUAUGUGGAAGAACACCGAUGGCGAAGGCAGCCUCCUGGGACAUAACUGACGCUCAGGCACGAAAGGCGGUGGGGAAGCAAACA
rnacentral:rRNA from 1 species